UCUUCCAGGAUUUCCAGCUUCCACUGUGAUCACUGUGUCUGUAAUUCUGCUGCUGCUUCUGAUUGGAGUCAUAUUCCUCAUUGUGAUUCUACAUAAGAGACACAGGACGCAAAGUCCAGGAACAAUGACACCAACUUACAGAGAGACAAAUGGAGAUUAUGAAAAUGACCCAAAUGUGCUCCAUUUCCAGUCAAGACAAAUGACCAACCAAUCAGAUUCAGUCUAUCAAAGUCUGAACCCCAACACCAACCAAUCAGAUUCGGUCUACCAAAGUCUGAACCCCAACACCAACCAGUCAGAUUCGGUCUACCAAAGUCUGAACCCCAACACCAACCAAUCAGAUUCGGUCUAUCAAAGUCUGAAACCCAACACCAACCAAUCAGAUUCAGUCUACCAAAGUCUCAAGUGUUAAACGGGCCAGUUGGACACAGUUGGAGUCAGAAAUUGCCCUCUAACCAAUGAGAUUGUUGCUGCCAGAUUCUCUAUUAAACUGGACUGGCCUCUCAUUUGAAAAUUAUUCUAGUUUCAAACUAAAUUGUGGAAUAACCUGUCAAGAUCAGAUGACGUAAAUGAAUAGUUUUUCAAAAAGCCAGUUUAUCGCUGUUCAGAAGUUUGCUAUAUGCUUGGAAACCAGCACAUGGAAGUGCUGAGAGUCUUCAUCCUCAUCCUGAAAUGUGGUCAAAUAAAGUGUAUAAAAGAUGCCAUUUCAUAUGUUAGAUAUCAUGUGUUCUGUGAUUAACUGAUGCUGAAAGUUUGUGGUUGUGAGUUUGUUUUGAGAGUCAGGAUUUGAGUUGUUCACAAAAUUACACACACCUCCUUCAAGUUACAUUUCUGAUGUGUAAUGAUUUUCAUAACCUCCAUGACACAGGGUUAGAGGUUAGUUAGAAGUUUCAGCUCAAUAGCCACGCUCAACAAUCAACAGUGAACAUUUAUUAUUAUUUAUUGUUAUUUUUAUCAUGAAUCAUCAUUUAUCAUUCCCUACUUUAAUCACUUUUAAUCAUUUUAUACAAUAAUUUUCCAUAUUAAUGCUGUAAUGAUGCAUUUGCCUCCUAAUGUUUUUGGACCUUUGGGAUGAGUAAGCUUAGCCACACACUGAUUUUUACAGAUUUACUGAUUUACUUGUAAUUUCAUGAUUAUAAUUACUAUUCUCUGUCUUUUUUAUUUUCACUUUGAUUAUUAAACAAUUAAUUAAUCCUAAAGGGGAGUGUAGAAUAUUAUGUAUUAUAAACUCCACUCAAUGCUUCCUGUGUGUUGUACGUUUACUCCUUUACAUUUUGAGUACUGCAUCGAUAAUGGACUGUGGUUGUGUUGGCUCGAAUUUAGCCUAUUACCCCAAAACAUUUAAAAUUCAACUUAGAAGCCAAUACUCACAUCUACCUCUGAGACCAGUUGGAGAUAGAAAAAAUACACCAGCCAUGAGUGAGAAGAAGCAAGGGUCCAGCUUUAUUGUUUCAUUCCACCACACGAGAUCCACACCGAUGAGAAUUCUCAGAAGUGAUCCCCCUACCCUGAGCUUAAGCUCCAGUAUUUAUACUGUAUUUACACACUAGAUAACCCAUAGGUUUCCAGAAAAGGCCUAUUUCACUUACCCA